rnacentral:rRNA from 1 species
GCGCUACAAAGGCUUGAGAGCUUGGCCAUGGUUUCCUUUUUUUUAGUCGAGCUAAGGAGGGGUGGCGUGGAGGAGACGGGUGCUAAGGAAGGAGGGCGUGCUUCGGGGUGGCAGGGAGCCUAGGCCGGCCGCGCGGCGGUGGCCGGUGGGACGGCGGUGGCAGGGUGCCUAGGUUGGCGGCGCGGCGGUAGCCGGUGGGACGGUGGUGGCAAGGGGUCUAGGCCGGCGGCGUGGCGGGGUGGCACCCUAGGCUGGCGGUGCUGUUGGUGUGGUUAGGAAGUAGCGGGUGACCAUGUUGCGGGUUUCGUGCUUCUAAGGGCAGCGGCGACUGGGAGGCCGCUUGAAGAGACGGUGGAGCGGAACCUGGAGAGUGACGACCAUUGGACGAGGCUGCUGGAAACGGUUGGAUGAAGUGGCGGCGCCCGUACUGAGGGGUGAGGAGGGUGUGACGUUAUGUCGUGCCGAGCGGGGUGCCAGGAAAGCAGGGGCUGCGGGGAGGCACAAGCGACGGCUCUACGGUGGAGGUCCAGACGAAGAAUCCUAGGUAGCAGACCAGAACCCUCAUAAAGUUGCGUCAGACAACAGCUCCCCCCGACGCCGAUGCAAGGGUCGACUACUCGCCAUGACGACAUGAAGGAGUUCUAGGUACGACAACAUCGGACAUCCAUUGUAGUGUUAAGACGCAGAAGUUCGACAAAAAAGACUUAUUUCCGAGAUCUGAUCAAGUACCACUCUUUAACCAACAUAAGGCAACGAGAACAAGGACACACUCACAGCCAUUACAUUUUUUAUUAAUUGAAGUUUAUUACCUACGCACUUUCAAGUAACACGUCCCUUUGAUGUCCUUAAGUGACGAUGAAAAUGUAUAACCUAGACACUACCCGUAGGAGUGUCACACGGCGACACGCUCCUCCUACGUCGAUCCGCUCGUAGAGCUCGAUGUCUCGUGGGAGGAAGGGGGCCUGGGGAAGGAAGGAGACGAGGUUGACCAGCUGUUGUCGAUGAGGUGGACGUGGUUUGCAGCAGCGAGGAAGUAGAGGACGCUGGAGCGCGUCGGACGACGGUAGGGCUGGUUUCGACUCACUCUCUUCAAACUGGACUGGUGGCGAAGUCAAGCUACAAAGAAAGAAAAACUUUUGUCGAAGUUAAGCUACACACGUACGAGUACACACAAAUACACACAUACACGAGCGUACGACUUCACAACGACGACGAUCGAAACCGUAAAUCUAUAAUGUUGUGUAUACUUCAACGACGAAGAUCGAAACCACAAAUCUAUGUACUACUUCAACGACGACGAUCGAAACCACAAGUGUGUGAUGUUGUGCCCACCUCGGUGGCUCUCCUUACCUAAUAUCGUUUUGUACACCAUAUUUAUGUAAGUGUCUAUUAAAUCACCGGGGACCGAUCAAGUUCGAUCCUUUUCUCUGAAAAUAGAAAAGUCGACACAAAUCGUAAUCCCACAGAUACACGUAUGUCUUUUUACCUAUGUCUCUUACGAUACAAACAGAACAUGAUGAGAACAUGAUGACAUGAAUUUAAAAAUAAACACUUCCAGUUUUACAACACAAACUCUUUCAGUUCACACAAUACAUAGAGUCGUUCAAGUUUUUUUUAAUUUUGUACGUUACUUUUGGUACCCUCUAAACGGGGCCAUCGG